rnacentral:rRNA from 1 species
AGUGUGUGUGUUAGUGGAAGCGUCUGGAAAGGCGCGCGAUACAGGGUGACAGCCCCGUACACAAAAAUGCACAUAUUGUGAGCUCGAUGAGUAGGGCGGGACACGUGGUAUCCUGUCUGAAUAUGGGGGGCCCAUCCUCCAAGGCUAAAUACUCCUGACUGACCGAUAGUGAACCAGUACCGUGAGGGAAAGGCGAAAAGAACCCCGGCGAGGGGAGUGAAAAAGAACCUGAAACCGUGUACGUACAAGCAGUGGGAGCACGCUUAGGCGUGUGACUGCGUACCUUUUGUAUAAUGGGUCAGCGACUUAUAUUCUGUAGCAAGGUUAACCGAAUAGGGGAGCCGAAGGGAAACCGAGUCUUAACUGGGCGUUAAGUUGCAGGGUAUAGACCCGAAACCCGGUGAUCUAGCCAUGGGCAGGUUGAAGGUUGGGUAACACUAACUGGAGGACCGAACCGACUAAUGUUGAAAAAUUAGCGGAUGACUUGUGGCUGGGGGUGAAAGGCCAAUCAAACCGGGAGAUAGCUGGUUCUCCCCGAAAGCUAUUUAGGUAGCGCCUCGUGAAUUCAUCUCCGGGGGUAGAGCACUGUUUCGGCA